rnacentral:rRNA from 1 species
UACGAAGGGGGCUAGCGUUGUUCGGAAUCACUGGGCGUAAAGCGCACGUAGGCGGAUCUUUAAGUCAGGGGUGAAAUCCUGGAGCUCAACUCCAGAACUGCCCUUGAUACGGGCGAUCUCGAGUUCGGGAGAGGUGAGUGGAACUGCGAGUGUAGAGGUGAAAUUCGUAGAUAUUCGCAAGAACACCAGUGGCGAAGGCGGCUCACUGGCCCGAUAUUGACGCUGAGGUGCGAAAGCGUGGGGAGCAAACAGG